UUUUUAAAUUUUAACUUGAAACAUAUUUGAUUCCAUCGCAAUAGCCUAUAUGAAAGUGUAUGGAGCCACUCACGACUUCAAUAGGAGUUUGGUGUCACUACUGUCAAUUAAAACAAAUCCGUCAGGUGUCGCUCACAGCAUAGGUCUGAGAGUAUAGCGUUGGUCCCUCGGUCACAACAUAACGCUAGACCUAGAACGUGACAGAUUGUAGGAGAAGUUUGAAUGAAUAAGGUAUUCGUACAUACUUGCAUAACAUGGAAUCCUUGUGUAUCGGUUCGAGGAUAUCAGUAACUGGAGAUAGUGCUACUGUCAAAUAUAUUGGAACUGUCCCACCUACAAAAGGUGAAUGGCUGGGAGUUGAAUGGGAUGAUCCCACGAGGGGACGACAUGAUGGAACGAAAGAUGGAGUGGCCUACUUUAAAUGCAGGCAUAAAACCAGUGGCUCAUUUAUACGAGCAACCAAAGCAAACUUUGGUGUUUCAAUUUGUGAUGCAAUAACUGAUCGUUAUACACUGCCAACUGAGUCUGGAGAUUCUCACAUGAAUGACAUGUAUCUAGGAAAUAUAAAAAUAAUGAAAAAGAUUGAAACAGUUGGAAUGGACCAAGUUCAAAAGCAAUUUGGGAAAUUGAACCAACUCAAACAAAUCAUUCUUCGUGAUCAAAUCAUUUCCAGUGCGGGCACUGUUGGGCAACUGGCCACUUUAACACCAAGCCUAGUUGAGCUAAAUCUGUCAAAGAAUCUGAUCUCCUCAUGGGACACUGUAUGCGACAUUGUGAAGCAGUUACCCUGUUUAAAAGUCUUAAAUCUAAGCGAAAACAUCAUGCAAGUAACGGACAAAGCUUUAUCACAGCCAGAGGUUUUUGCAAACAUUGACACAAUGGUCUUAAAUAAGUGCUCUUUGUCCUGGGAAGAGCUGCUGACCUGCACCACCAUGUGGCCACAAGUUACUGAGCUUCAUAUAGAAGCGAACAACAUGACGCAUCUAUCCCCACCUGGUGAUAAACUCAACCAUGUAAAGUUGUUACAUUUAUCUGGCAAUCCACUCAACUCGUGGCAUGAAGUGCAGCAAUUGUCACAACUUCCAAUGUUAUCCUGUCUUCUUAUAAAGGAAUGCGAAUUAUCUGAUUUGUUCAUUAAGCCUGGUGAUUUCAAACAACUCAAGGAACUUUUCCUGGAUAGAAAUAAAUAUGAAUCGGUACAUGAUCUUAAUCCAUUGAACAAUCUCCCAGAAUUUAUUGAGUUACAUUUCCGCAAAAAUCCAGCCCUUAACCAAGACCGAUAUGAUGCCAUACAUGAUAUUAUUGUCGCUAAAAUAAAGAGAUUACAAAGACUUGACAGAUUAAGUGUGACACAGCAGAGCCGCUUCACAGCAGAGAUGGAUUACCUUCGAAAAUAUGGGGUUGAGUGGAGGGAGUCUGGAGGACAUCAGGAUCCUGAAAGAAACCAACCAUCUCAAGAGUUUAUUGAGAAUCAUCCUCGUUAUAUGGAACUUAUAGCAGAAAUAAGAAAAGCAUUAUGUUUUGCUGUUGUUCUUAAAACAUGCUUAGCUGUAUCAAACUUACAGAACAUGGUGCUCCUGAUGACAAACAAUUUAUGAAAAUGUCAUCCGCGCUGAAAGGCAACUUAUUAGAACUUAUCAUUGAAGCGCCAGUAAAACCAGAUUUCAAACCUGUGACCAAAAAGCUGCCAAAAUCAAUGUCAAUCGGCAGCUUGAAACUGCUCAUUCAAAAGUUAACAAAAAUCGAAAUAAGGAACCAGAGAUUGGUGUACAUCAGCAAAGAGAACCCUGACCAUGUUGUGGAAUUGGAUCGUGACCAUGAAACACUACAUGAUGUUUCUAUUGAUCCUGGGGACACAAUACAGGUUUUAAGUGGUUAUCACUGGGCUAAAAAGACAAGCAGAAGAAAACCAAGGCAUUGAACCCAUAUGUUGAGCCAGACCAAAUAAAACUAGUUCUUUUAUCAGCAAAACUGCAAUUGUAUUUUAAUUAAAAAGUCUCUAGUUCAUUUUCGCUAACGGAUUUACAAACCUGAAGUGUUAUUUUGUAUUUGGCCAAACCUACAAUAUUUUUGCUGGUAUAUUAGUUGCACUACAUGUAUACUGUGAUACUGCAAAGCGCUUGAUUACUUUUGUUUUGAUUAAUUUGUUAGCAUGCUUUAAAUUGGCAACGUAUUGCGGAUUUGACAAGCUGUUUACAUUUCUACGAAAUAUAAAUCACUUCGAUGACAUAUAA